GUGAGGAAUAUUGGGCAAUGCCCGCAAGGGUGACCCAGCAACGCCGCGUGGAGGAUGAAUGUCGUAAGAUUGUAAACUCCUGUUAGAGGGGAAGAAUAGUACCGGUUGGACCGGUAUAUGACUGUACCCUCAGAGAAAGCCCCGGCUAACUACGUGCCAGCAGCCGCGGUAAUACGUAGGGGGCAAGCGUUGUCCGGAUUUACUGGGUGUAAAGGGCGCGCAGGCGGGAUAAAAAGUCAGUGGUGAAAUCCUACAGCUUAACUGUAGAACUGCCUUUGAUACUGUUAUUCUUGAGUUCGAGAGAGAGAGACGGAAUUCAAGGUGUAGUGGUGAAAUACGUAGAUAUCUGGAAGAACACCAGUUGCGAAGGCGGUCUCUUGGUCCGACACUGACGCUGAGGCGAGAAAGCGUGGGGAGCGAAC
rnacentral:rRNA from 1 species